UAUAAAGAAAAUGUGAUUUAAGCUACUGAUCACUAAGGAGUAUUCCACAUAUUGACAGACAAGCAAAAAACAGUCAUAAAUGCUCCAAAAAUAGGGAGCCAGAGAUACUUCGCAAAGAUUCUCUAACACCAACAGGAAAUAGAACUAUUUCCCAAUCCUCCAUCAAUCGAGUGCCUUGGAUGGACACAACGUCUCAGGUUCCCACCUCCUUCCACCUGCUCCUGCUG